AUUGAACGCUGGCGGCAGGCCUAACACAUGCAAGUCGAACGGUAACAGGAAACAGCUUGCUGUUUCGCUGACGAGUGGCGGACGGGUGAGUAAUGUCUGGGAAACUGCCUGAUGGAGGGGGAUAACUACUGGAAACAGUAGCUAAUACCGCAUAACGUCGCAAGCACAAAGAGGGGGACCUUCGGGCCGCUUGCCAUCGGAUGUGCCCAGAUGGGAUUAGCUAGUAGGUGGGGUAACGGCUCACCUAGGCGACGAUCCCUAGCUGGUCUGAGAGGAUGACCAGCCACACGGGAGCUGAGACACGGUCCAGACUCCUACGGGAGGCAGCAGUGGGGAAUAUUGCACAAUGGGCGCAAGCCUGAUGCAGCCAUGCCGAGUGUAUGAAGAAGGCCUUCGGGUUGUAAAGUACUUUCAGCGGGGAGGAAGGGAGUAAAGUUAAUACCUUUACUCAUUGACGUUACCCGCAAAAGAAGCACCGGCUAACUCCGUG
rnacentral:rRNA from 1 species